GGCCCAAUGGUCUAGUAGUAUGAUACUCCCUUCGGGUUAUUCAAUCCGCAAUCAGUUCGGUUGCUGCUUGGGAGUGGUCCCGGGUUCAAUUCCCGGUUGGGCCC